rnacentral:rRNA from 1 species
CGGGAGGCAGCAGUGGGGAAUAUUGCACAAUGGGCGCAAGCCUGAUGCAGCCAUGCCGCGUGUGUGAAGAAGGCCUUCGGGUUGUAAAGCACUUUCAGUCGUGAGGAAGGUGGUGUAGUUAAUAGCUGCAUUAUUUGACGUUAGCGACAGAAGAAGCACCGGCUAACUCCGUGCCAGCAGCCGCGGUAAUACGGAGGGUGCGAGCGUUAAUCGGAAUUACUGGGCGUAAAGCGCAUGCAGGUGGUUUGUUAAGUCAGAUGUGAAAGCCCGGGGCUCAACCUCGGAAUAGCAUUUGAAACUGGCAGACUAGAGUACUGUAGAGGGGGGUAGAAUUUCAGGUGUAGCGGUGAAAUGCGUAGAGAUCUGAAGGAAUACCGGUGGCGAAGGCGGCCCCCUGGACAGAUACUGACACUCAGAUGCGAAAGCGUGGGGAGCAAACAGGAUUAGAUACCCUGGUAGUCCACGCCGUAAACGAUGUCUACUUGGAGGUUGUGGCCUUGAGCCGU